rnacentral:rRNA from 1 species
GACGAACGCUGGCGGCGUGCCUAAUACAUGCUAGUAGAACGCUGAAGGAGGAGCUUGCUCUUCUGGAUGAGUUGCGAACGGGUGAGUAACGCGUAGGUAACCUGCCUGGUAGCGGGGGAUAACUAUUGGAAACGAUAGCUAAUACCGCAUAACAGUAGAUGUUGCAUGACAUUUACUUAAAAGGUGCAAUUGCAUCACUACCAGAUGGACCUGCGUUGUAUUAGCUAGUUGGUGGGGUAACGGCUCACCAAGGCGACGAUACAUAGCCGACCUGAGAGGGUGAUCGGCCACACUGGGACUGAGACACGGCCCAGACUCCUACGGGAGGCAGCAGUAGGGAAUCUUCGGCAAUGGACGGAAGUCUGACCGAGCAACGCCGCGUGAGUGAAGAAGGUUUUCGGAUCGUAAAGCUCUGUUGUAAGAGAAGAACGAGUGUGAGAGUGGAAAGUUCACACUGUGACGGUAUCUUACCAGAAAGGGACGGCUAACUACGUG